GUCUAUGGCCAUGCCACCCUGAACAAGCCUGAUCCUGUCUGAUCUCAGAAACUAAGCAGGGUUGGGCCUGGUUAGCACUUGGAUGGGAGACCACCUAGGAAGACUGGGUGCUGUAGGCA
rnacentral:rRNA from 1 species